AUUGAACGCUGGCGGCAUGCCUUACACAUGCAAGUCGAACGGUAACAGGUCUUCGGAUGCUGACGAGUGGCGAACGGGUGAGUAAUACAUCGGAACGUGCCUAGUAGUGGGGGAUAACUACUCGAAAGAGUGGCUAAUACCGCAUGAGAUCUACGGAUGAAAGCAGGGGAUCGCAAUACCUUGUGCUACUAGAGCGGCCGAUGGCAGAUUAGGUAGUUGGUGGGAUAAAAGCUUACCAAGCCGACGAUCUGUAGCUGGUCUGAGAGGACGAUCAGCCACACUGGGACUGAGACACGGCCGAGACUCCUACGGGAGGCAGCAGUGGGGGAUUUUGGACAACGGGCGCAAGCCUGAUCCAGCAAUGCCGCGUGGAGGAUGAAGGCCUUCGGGUUGUAAACUGCUUUUGUACGGAACGAAAAGCCCUGGGUUAAUACCCUGGGGUCAUGACGGUACCGUAAGAAUAAGCACCGGCUAACUACGUGCCAGCCGCCGCGGUAAAAC
rnacentral:rRNA from 1 species